CUGUCGCCACUUUCCCCUUCUCCAUAAUUUAAGGAUCUCCCUUUACCAAAAUAAACUGUCCUACAUUUAAGUAGCCAAAAGUCAGAGCAGUUUCAGAAUUGUAUCUUGGUUUCAAGGCCUCAACCAACCACCGGAAGAUGAGAUAUUGACAGAUCUAGUUGACAGGGGAUGCCAGAGGGGACAGGAGAUACAACUGUCAGACUAAAGAGCCUUUCUUGACAUCCUCAUUUGUUCUGCUGUGUAAUAGCAUGGGAUCUUUCAGAGCUGUCGACAUCUGCUCCACUCUAGAGAGCUGCAGAACCAUGCCAGCAGAGCAAUAAUAAUUAUGCCCGAAUGGACUGAAAAGGAUGCAAGAAAUAAGACAAGGAAAAGUACACCCAGCGCGAUCAUGUGCUAACCUAUGAACUGGAACAGUGUAUCCAGGGCACUCCUACCUUGGUCCCACCCUGAAGGAUGAAGGUCUCUGGAAUCUGUAAUGGGACUCCUCAAGGUCCUAGAACCAUCCAGAAACCACCUUUGCACAAAUUGUAAUGGUGAGAAGACUAUGACACAGGAAAAUUAUGACAGCAAAAGAAAUCCGUCUCAACCUACUCCAUCUUGUUUUCCACCUCCAAGCUCUCCUUGUUCAUUCCAGGGCAUAGG